rnacentral:rRNA from 1 species
UACGUAGGGUGCGAGCGUUAAUCGGAAUUACUGGGCGUAAAGCGUGCGCAGGCGGCGCGUUAAGACAGGUGUGAAAGCCCCGAGCUUAACUUGGGAAUUGCGCUUGUGACUGGCGUGCUGGAGUGUGGCAGAGGGAGGUGGAAUUCCACGUGUAGCAGUGAAAUGCGUAGAGAUGUGGAGGAACACCGAUGGCGAAGGGCAGCCUCCUGGGCCAGCACUGACGCUCAUGCACGAAAGCGUGGGGAGCAAACAGG